AUGAACCCAGGUUUGAGUCUUAGAGACAUGCUUGAGAUAAAACGUGACCUCACCCUCCCGCAAUUGAAGGCCAUAUUAAAGGGGCAUUUUAAAGAAGACAGCACCACAGAUUUGUAUCACAGACUAGUGAACGUCACACAAGACAGCCGUGAGUCUCCCCAAAACUUCGUCUUCAGAGCAAUUGAGUUAAAAGAGAGGCUGCUGCUCGCAUCGGAAGACACAGGGUCCGAUGAACAAUACAGCCCUGAGCUCAUCCAGAAGAAAUUCUUGAGGUCGGUUAGUACUGGGCUACUGAGUGACCCUAUCAAGUUUCAACUCAAGCCCUAUCUGGAUGACCCUUGGGUGACAGAUGAAACCCUCAUUGAUAAGAUGAAUGAAGCAGCUAGUGUUGAAUCAGAAAGGCAAUUGAAGCAAAAGAAAACUACAGGCAGCAAAUCUGUAAAAGUAAAUGAACUCCAGGCAGAAAGGCCAGCCAGUCAAUUGGGUCUGGGUGUAGCCGAAACUAGGUUGGGGACUCAAGAGCAAUCAGCUGAAGUGGUGAAACCCAAGAGCCGCAGAACACCUGUUGUAGCUGCUUCCCGAGAGUCAGAGCUGCAUGAAACGGUCAGGCUGCUGAGAGAGGAGAUGGCUGAAUUAAGGAGGAGCAUCACCACCCCUCAAUGCCCCACUCGCCCACUAAGAACCAGUGGGAGGAGGGGAUGUAAGGCAUGCCAGGAGCAGGGAACCUAUGAUGGGUGUGAACACUGCUUCAAGUGUGGCCAGCCAGGACACCUCUCCAGAGGCUGUAGAGGGCGAAGGGGGGCAGCAGAAAGAUCGGAGGGCACUCAAGCGGCAAUCCAGACCAUCGCCCCUCCCAAAUCAUUAAUUCCCAUCCAUGCUGAAGCAGACGACAAGUUGCAUGAACUGCUUUGGAAUCGAAUAAGACAGCUGGAAGCAGAAUUAGAGCAGAGUGGCAAGGCUAAAGAGACUGUGGGUGCCACGUAUGCCAGUCAUCUCUCACUACGCUGUCAGGCUAAGCUGAGAGCCCUGAUCGGGAAGAAGUGUAUGGUGGAUUGUUUCUUUGAAGGGGUAGAAACACAAGCAUUGUGGGAUACGGGUUCACAGGUGACUAUCAUUAAUGAGAACUGGAAGAAGUCCUGCUUUCCACAUAUCCAACUGAGAAGCACAAGUGAACUCCUAGGUGAGGAUGAGGCUCUGGUGGGCAAAGCAGCGAACCAAACACCCAUACCCUUCGCAGGUUGGGUUGAGCUAAAAUUUAGACUGGGGUCAACUAGAGAUCCACAGCCAGAGUUAGUUGUCCCCGUGCUUGUCUCAAAAGAGCCAGGAGUAGCAGAGCCACCUAUCAUUGGCUAUAAUGUGAUUGAGCAUUUUGUAAAGGAUGGAAUGGAGCAGCAUCCAGACGUUACACCUGCUGUGGUAAAGGAAGCCUUCUCAAUUGAUUGUAAGAAAGCAGAAGUGCUAAUUAACAUCAUGCAGCACUGCCACAAAAAUGAUGAGGAGGGUGUGGUGAAAGUUGAGAGACAAAAGAUAGUGAUUCCAGCUGGACAAAGCAGGGAGGUUAAGUGCAGUGUGAGGACAGGUCCCCUCCCCCUGAAACAGGAGGUUCUUUUUGAACCAGAGGACAUUUCAAAACUACCAGAGGGGGUUAACCUGAAUGAAACUGUCAUUGGCCUGCAGAGGGGAACCCGGUCCAGGGUGGUUCUUCCGGUCAUGAAUGGCGGCAGCCAUGACAUCACCCUCCUCCCUCAUGCAGUGUUGGGACGACUACAGCAAGUGAAGGCUAUUUACCCAGUAGACGUAAGACCAGUAAGUGCUGAAAACAUGGGCAAGUUGACAUGUGCUAGUGAAAACACAGGGAGCACCGUCAGCACCCCAGAACAGCACAAAGGGGAGUAUGAAGAGGUGGGCAGUUGCAGCCAAGAUUUAUGGGACCCACCUGUGUCGGUUGAUCACCUGACCCCAGAUCAGCAGGAGCAGGUGAGAAAAGUCCUGCGUGAAGAGUGUGCUGCAUUUUCAAAAGAUGAGAGCGAUGUGGGAUGCAUCCCCUCCCUGAAGUUAAAGAUCAGAUUGAAUGACACAACCCCAGUAAGACGCACAUACAUCUCAGUCCCCAAGCCACUCCACAAGGAGGUGAAGGAGUAUUUGGAGGACCUGUUGAACAGAGGAUGGAUUCAGAAAUCCUGA
ensembl:lncRNA